CCCGCUGAACUUAAGCAUAUCAAUAAGCGGAGGAAAAGAAACUAACAAGGAUUCCCCUAGUAACUGCGAGUGAAGCGGGAAGAGCUCAAAUUUAAAAUCUGGCGGUUCUCUGAGCUGUCCGAGUUGUAAUCUAGAGAAGUGCUUUCCGUGCUGGACCGUGUACAAGUCUCUUGGAAUGGAGCGUCAUAGAGGGUGAGAAUCCCGUCUUUGACACGGACUACCAGUGCUUUUGUGAUGCACUCUCGAAGAGUCGAGUUGUUUGGGAAUGCAGCUCAAAAUGGGUGGUAAAUUCCAUCUAAAGCUAAAUAUAGGCGAGAGACCGAUAGCGAACAAGUACCGUGAGGGAAAGAUGAAAAGAACUUUGAAAAGAGAGUUAAACAGUACGUGAAAUUGUUGAAAGGGAAACGCUUCAAGUCAGUCGCGUUGGCUAGUAAUCAACCUUUGCAAUCUUGCUUGGCUUAUUUUCCAGUCGAUGGGUCAGCAUCAAUUUUGACCGUCAGAGAAAGGCGUGGGGAAUGUGGCAUCUUCGGAUGUGUUAUAGCCCCUUGUCACAUGUGAUGGUUGGGAUUGAGGAACUCAGCAUGCCUUUACUGGUCGGGGCUCUAAGUCCACGUAACAUGCUCAGGAUGCUGGCAUAAUGGCUUGAAUCGACCCGUCUUGAAACACGG
rnacentral:rRNA from 1 species